CGCGUAGGCGGCUUUAUAAGUCAGAUGUGAAAUCCCUGGGCUUAACCUAGGAAUGGCAUUUGAAACUGUAAGGCUAGAGAUCGAGAGAGGAUAGUGGAAUUGCGAGUGUAGAGGUGAAAUUCGUAGAUAUUCGCAAGAACACCGGUGGCGAAGGCGGCUAUCUGGCUCGAUACUGACGCUAAGGCGCGAAAGCGUGGGGAGCAAACA
rnacentral:rRNA from 1 species